CUCAUAUUCGAAAGCCUGUCUAAACCAUGUGACUACCAAACAGGACCAAAUUGAGUCCUUCCUACCCACAGGCACUUGGUCCCCCCUGGCCCCCAGUUAGCUCUUCAAAACCAAGCUUGGGACAGGUGCCACGAGUCGUUUUUAAAGCAAAAUCUUUCAACACCUCUUAGAAACUUGUAUUUGCCAGCCAUGCUACAAUUAACUCAAACUGAAGAUUAUCAAGUACACCCAUAAUUAGUAGUUUCCUUGUCUUACAUACCCUUUGUCUUCAUAAAUUUUCUCUUGGUUGAUGACAGGCUUCAAUGGCUGAGAAUAGUAUACCUCUAUACACUACCGCUUCCAUGGGAAAUCCCACUCUGGGCAACUUAGCCAGCGCAAUACGGGAAGAGCUGAACGGGGCAAUGGAGCAUACCAACAGCAACGAGAGUGACAGCAGUCCAGGCAGAUCUCCUAUGCAAGCCGUGCAUCCUGUACACGUCAAAGAAGAGCCCCUCGAUCCAGAGGAAGCUGAAGGGCCCCUGUCCUUAGUGACAACAGCCAACCACAGUCCAGAUUUUGACCAUGACAGAGAUUACGAAGAUGAACCAGUAAACGAGGACAUGGAGUGAAUAUCGGGGCGGGCCAACCCUGAGAAUGAAGAUUGGAAAAAGGAAGAAAAAAAAAAAAAAA
rnacentral:sRNA from 1 species